rnacentral:rRNA from 1 species
UACGUAGGCAGCGAGCGUUGUUCGGAAUUACUGGGCGUAAAGAGUGUGUAGGCGGUGCUCUAAGUUCGGUGUGAAAUCUCCUGCUUAACUGGGAGGGUGCGCCGGAAACUGGAGUGCUCGAGCGUGGGAGAGGAAAGCGGAAUUCCUGGUGUAGCGGUGAAAUGCGUAGAUAUCAGGAGGAACACCGGUGGUGUAAACGGCUUUCUGGACCGUAA